rnacentral:misc_RNA from 1 species
UACGGAGGUUCCUAGCGUUGUUCGGAAUUACUGGGCGUAAAGGGAGCGCAGGCGGGCUGUUAAGUCUAAAGUGGAAUCCCGGGGCUCAACCUCGGACGUGCUUUGGAUACAGGCAGUCUUGAGUUCGUGAGAGGAAAGCGGAAUUCAGGGUGUAGCGGUGAAAUGCUUAGAUAUCCUGAGGAACACCAGUGGCGAAAGCGGCUUUCUGGCACGAAACUGACGCUGAGGCUCGAAAGCGUGGGUAGCGAACAGG